GAGAGCCAAAUGAAUCAAAAGAUUCAUGUUUAGUUCGGGAAGAGAUCAUAAAAAUGUAAACUUAAUAGCAAGAUAAUCUACUUUCAU
rnacentral:ncRNA from 1 species